CGGGUGGUAAUGCCGGAUGCUCCGGUUGGAUGCAUGUCCUUCCGGGAAAGAUUCUAUCGGUAUGGGAUGGGGUCGCGUCCUAUCAGCUUGAUGGCGGGGUAACGGCCCACCAUGGCUUCGACGGGUAGCCGGCCUGAGAGGGCGACCGGCCACAUUGGGACUGAGAUACGGCCCAGACUCCUACGGGAGGCAGCAGUGGGGAAUAUUGCACAAUGGGCGCAAGCCUGAUGCAGCGACGCCGCGUGCGGGAUGGAGGCCUUCGGGUUGUAAACCGCUUUUGAUCGGGAGCAAGCCCUUCGGGGUGAGUGUACCUUUCGAAUAAGCACCGGCUAACUACGUGCCAGCAGCCGCGGUAAUACGUAGGGUGCAAGCGUUAUCCGGAAUUAUUGGGCGUAAAGGGCUCGUAGGCGGUUCGUCGCGUCCGGUGUGAAAGCCCAUCGCUUAACGGUGGGUCUGCGCCGGGUACGGGCGGGCUGGAGUGCGGUAGGGGAGACUGGAAUUCCCGGUGUAACGGUGGAAUGUGUAGAUA
rnacentral:rRNA from 1 species